AGAAAAACUACUCAUAAUGCUGAUAAUGAAUGCCUUGGAGAUUUUGGCCGAGGAAGGACGCAUAUGACGGCGAUACUCGUUGGGUAGGUGUCAUAAACCUCUGAUCCAGCGGUUUCCGAAUGGAGCAAUCCCCCCGCCUUUGGCGGGGAGCCUUUCAUAAACAAAGAUGAUUUAUCAUUUUAAUAGUGAUUUGGCGGGGAACGGCGUGAACUGAAACAUCUAAUUAACGCCAGGAAAAUAAAUCAAAGCUCCCGUUAGAACUUUGUUCGUAAGUUUAUGCGAGUUAAAUUAAGUCAUCGGACUUGAAAUAGCUUCUGAAUUUAUGGCCAGAGUUCUAACGGGAUGGAGAUUCCCUUAGUAGCGGCGAGCGAAAAGGGAAAAGUCUAAACGCUUGUGCAUGGCACAAGAACUACUAACAGCUAACUACUGACAACUAAAAAUCGUUAGAAGUUAGAAGUCAUAAGUUAGUUGUUCUCGCGCUGUGCGCGAGCGGGUUGCAGGGCAGACGAUAUUCGAUGAAGAGAUUGCUAGCAGAAGUGGCUGGAAUUGCCACGCCAUAGACGGUGAAAGCCCAGUACGCAAAAUUAAUCUCUCCGAUAGUCUGUUCCUAAGUACCAUGGGGUACGGUGAAACCCUGUGGGAAUCUGGGGCGUCCACGCUCCAAGACUAAAUACCAAAAUCUACCGAUAGUGAACUAGUACCGCGAGGGAAAGGUGAAAAGCACCCCGGGAGGGGAAUGAAAUAGAACUGAAAUUGUCAGCUAACAAGCAGAUAGAGCUUGUGCAUAGCACAAGAAUUUUCAAGUAACAAUUCUCAAUUUUCAUUGAAUUUUCAAUGUUUCCGCGAGUAAUAUCGUGCCUAUUGAAGAAUGAACCGGUGAGUUAUUCGAGGCUUAUCGUCUAAGAAAUUUACGUUUCGAAGGCAAAGUGAAAGCGUGCUCUAAUUGAGCGAUUUAAGUAAGUCUCGUAUAGACCCGAAACUGAGUGAGCUAACCUUGGGCAGGGUGAAUGUCAGAGAAGUCUGACAGGAGGCCCGUACCCGUAUCUGUAGCAAUAGGUUGGGACGACCUGAGGUUAGGGGCAAUAUGCCAAACGAACUCAGAGAUAGCUGGUUCUCCCCGAAAUAUAUUUAGGUAUAGCGGUUAGGUGGUGUCUAGAGGUAGAGCACUGAAUGAAAUCCGGCGUCGCAAGAUGUCGGUUUCAAUCAAACUCCGAAUGCUAGUAACACUUUACCUAGCUAGUCAGACAUGUCGGGCUAAGCUGAUAUGUCUAAAGGGAAACAGCCCAGACUUUCGUCUAAGGUCUCUAAAUAAAAGCUAAGUUUUGAACGAAGUCGACUUUCGUCUAAGGUCUCUAAAUAAAAGCUAAGUUUUGAACGAAGUCACAAUUCAUAGACAACCAGGAGGUUGGCUUAGAAGCAGCCAUCCUUUAAAGAAAGCGUAACAGCUCACUGGAGGAUGAUUUGUGGCGCGGAAAAUUUAUCGAGGAUUAAGCUUUUUACCGAAGACAGAGAUCCUACGGGAUGGUAGGGGAGCGUUUUGUUUGCAGUGAAGUCGGAUUGUGAAAUCUGGUGGAGCGGACAAAAGUGAGAAUGCCGGUAUGAGUAGCGAGAGAAAGGUGAGAAUCCUUUCCGCCGAAAAUCCGAGGUUUCCUCCGCAAUGUAAGUCAUCGGAGGGUUAGUCGGCCCUAAGGGCGUUCCUUGAUAACAGGGAGUAGCCCGAUGGAUAAGCAGUUUAGAUUCUGCUACAGAAUGUGAGAGUCUCUAAGGGGAGUACGAAAUUGGAAGAGCUAAGCCGCGAGAGCGGUCUAAAUAGCAAAAUAGUACCAAGUGGAAAAACCAUUGGUGUGUUCAAUUGAGCUGUUAAUGAAAGCUUGGUGAGAAGCUAGGCAGAUUUAGUAGCUUUCAGUUUCCAGGAAAAGUCUCAUUAGCCAGGUACCAUACGGUACCUGGAAACUCAUAUUUUACCGUACCGUAAACCGACACAGGUGGAUAAGUCGAGUAGACUAAGGCGAUCGGGAGAAAAAUGGUUAAGGAACUCGGCAAAAAAUCUGGGCGUAACCUUUGGGAGAUGCCCUGCCGCAAUUAGUUUUGCGGUUGCAACAAAAGAGUGCUUGGCGACUGUUUAUCUAAAACACAGGUCCCUGCAAAGCCGAAAGGCAAAGUAUAGGGGCUGACACCUGCCCAGUGCUGGUAAGUCAAUUAUGGCGAGUGAAGUUCCUUCGGGAAUAAGCUUGUUAUACAAGCUCCAGUAAACGGCAGCAGUAACUAUAACUGUUCUAUGGUAGCGAAGUUCCUUGUCGGGCGAGUUCCGACCCGCACGAAUGGUAGAACGACCGAGCAACUGUCUUAAUCAUUUACCCGGCGAAAUUGCGAUGGCUGUGAAGACGCGGCCUAGUUGUCCUAGGACAAAAAGACCCCGGGAGCUUUACUGUAUCUUGGCAUUUAUAAGUUUAUUUUAAUUGUUUAGAAUAGGAGGGAGGGUGUGCGUUGCACACAACUAAUAACUGCUAACAACUAACAGCUAACGAACUAAAUCUUUUAGUAGUUAGAGGUUAGAAGUUAGUUGUUGUUGGCUGCGCGCAGCGCAUGUCCAACAGUGAAAUACCUCUCUUUGAAAUGAAUAAAUAUUACUUUUAAGCCGCAUAAAAAUCCGGCAAAAGAACAGUGUCAGGUGGGCAGUUUAACUGGGGAGGUUGACUCCUAAAUUGUAACGGAGUUGUACAAAGGUUGGCUAGUCACGGAUGGAAAUCGUGAUGAUAGCGUAAAGGUAUAAGCCAGCUUAACUGCGAGACAAACAAGUCGAGCAGAUACGAAAGUAGGUCUUAAUGAUCCUGUGAUGCGUAGUGGUACGCACACAGCUUAACGGAUAAAAGCUA
rnacentral:rRNA from 1 species